rnacentral:rRNA from 1 species
GACGAACGCUGGCGGCGUGCUUAACACAUGCAAGUCGAACGGUGAAGCUCCAGCUUGCUGGAUUGUAUCAGUGGCGAACGGGUGAGUAACACGUGAGCAACCUGCCCCUGACUCUUGAAUAAGCGCUGGAAACGGCGUCUAAUACUGGAUACUAGAAGGGUCCGCAUGGGCACUUUCUGGAAAGUUUUUCGGUUGGGGAUGGGCUCGCGGCCUAUCAGCUUGUUGGUGAGGUAAUGGCUCACCAAGGCGACGACGGGUAGCCGGCCUGAGAGGGCGACCGGGCACACUGGGACUGAGACACGGGACAGAGUCGUACGGGAGGCAGCAGUGGGGAAGAUUGCACAAUGGGCGAAAGCCUGAUGCAGCGACGACGCGUGAGGGAUGAAGGCCUUCGGGGUGUAAACAUCUUGCAGCAGGGAAGAAGCGAAAGUGACGGUACCUGCAGAAGAAGCACCGGCUAACUACGUG